rnacentral:rRNA from 1 species
AGUGAACGCUGGCGGUAGGCCUAACACAUGCAAGUCGAACGGCAGCACAGUAAGAGCUUGCUCUUACGGGUGGCGAGUGGCGGACGGGUGAGGAAUACAUCGGAAUCUACUUUUUCGUGGGGGAUAACGUAGGGAAACUUACGCUAAUACCGCAUACGACCUACGGGUGAAAGCAGGGGAUCUUCGGACCUUGCGCGAUUGAAUGAGCCGAUGUCGGAUUAGCUAGUUGGCGGGGUAAAGGCCCACCAAGGCGACGAUCCGUAGCUGGUCUGAGAGGAUGAUCAGACACACUAGAACUGAGACACGGUCCAGACUCCUACGAGAGGCAGCAGUGGGGAAUAUUGGACAAUGGGCGCAAGCCUGGUCCAGCCAUACCGCGUGGGUGAAGAAGGCCUUCGGGUUGUAAAGCCCUUUUGUUGGGAAAGAAAAGCAGCAGGUUAAUACCCCGCUGUUCUGACGGUACCCAAAGAAUAAGCACCGGCUAACUUCGUG